rnacentral:rRNA from 1 species
AUGGCGCGCCUGGUGCGCGAGCUCGAGGGCGCCGGCCUGCUUGUCGAGCGUGUCCGCGGCGUCCCCGCCGAGUUCAUCAAGGAGCAUGAUAAGAAGGUGGGGCUGCUGACGAAGCAGGAGGUGAGGGGUGUGAACUACCUCAAGAUGGAGAAGAACAGGAUGGAGAUGGAGAGCCUCGAGUCCAAGAUGCUGGUGGCCACCCAGUCCAUCGACACCACCACCUCCGAGAUCAUCAGGCUCAGAGAAUCAGAGCUAUUCCCUCAGCUACUUGAGCUGGUUGCUGGAGGUGAUCGACGUCUUCAACCACUCGGAGACGGACUUCGCCGUGAAGCCUGGUUGCUAUGUCGCACAGAUGAUCGUCCAGGUGAUUUCGACGCCGGAGGUCGCUGA